rnacentral:rRNA from 1 species
UACGAAGGGGGCUAGCGUUGUUCGGAAUUACUGGGCGUAAAGCGCGCGCAGGCGGUUCUUCAAGUCAGAGGUGAAAGCCCAGAGCUCAACUCUGGAAUUGCCUUUGAGACUAGAGAACUAGGGUACGGGAGAGGUGAGUGGAAUUCCGAGUGUAGAGGUGAAAUUCGUAGAUAUUCGGAAGAACACCAGUGGCGAAGGCGGCUCACUGGCCCGUUACCGACGCUCAGGCGCGACAGCGUGGGGAGCAAACAGG